rnacentral:lncRNA from 1 species
CUGGCCCAGAUCUCACCCUUCACCCAAGGAAACUCUGUCCCUGUUACUGAAUUUCCAACUUUUGUCAGAUAGACAACCUUCUCCAAGUUACCCAAACCUUAGCCUUGAAACCUUCUGUAACUAUUCUCCUCCCCACCAAUCCCAACAAGUCCCCACAAGCUUCCCAUCCAGCUCCUCCUGCCUUUGCCAGCCGUUAUCACCUGCCCUUUCCUUCUAGCUCCACUGCCCCUGCUCAGGACCUCUUUCCCCAUAACUGGAUUAUUCUGACAGUCUCUGAAUCGCCUCUGACUUUAGCCAGCUUUAACCGUGGUGUCUUUGUUCUCUCGGGUUGCUCCUGUAACUGUAACAAUCUCCUGCCCCUCCCCACCUACUUCACUUCCUGCCUGCUUUUCCAGCGGCACUCAGCUAUUCCUGUCUUUUCUGAGUAUCAGGGAGCGCUUGGGGCCUCUACCAACCAUGGGGAACUUAGCACAUCCUGCCUCGUAUCCCAGCUGAGGCUUUCACUUUACACCUCCUUCUGCCUGGCUGAGUUGGAAGGUCCAUGAUGUCCCCGCAUCAUUCGUGAUGCCCAAGGACCUAUUCUUACUAUCCAUCGACUGAUUCCAUCCAUCGCUACCCAUCUGCCACCCAUCUGUAACCAUCUUUCUUGCUCUGAAAAUAA